GACGAACGCUGGCGGCGUGCUUAACACAUGCAAGUCGAACGGAAAGGCCCUGCUUUUGUGGGGUGCUCGAGUGGCGAACGCGUGAGUAACACGUGAGUAACCUGCCCUUGACUUUGGGAUAACUUCAGGAAACUGGGGCUAAUACCGGGUAGGAGCUCCUGCUGCAUGGUGGGGGUUGGAAAGUUUCGGCGGUUGGGGAUGGACUCGCGGCUUAUGAGCUUGUUGGUGGGGUAGUGGCUUACCAAGGUUUUGACGGGUAGCCGGCCUGAGAGGGUGACCGGCCACAUUGGGACUAAGGUACGGCGCAGACUCGUACGGUAGGCAGCAGUGGGGAAUCUUGCACAGUGGGGGGAAGCCUGAUGCAGCAAUGCCGGGUGCGGGAUGACGGCCUUCGGGUUGUAAACCGCUGUCGCCGGUGACGAAGCGUGAGUGACGGUAAUGGGUAAAGAAGCACCGGCUAACUACGUG
rnacentral:rRNA from 1 species